rnacentral:misc_RNA from 1 species
UGUCUACGACUCAUAGUCCA